GCCGCCGUGGCUCAGUGGUAGAGCACAUCCUUGGUAAGGAUGGGGUCGUGAGUUCGAUUCUCACCGGCGGCA
rnacentral:tRNA from 1 species